UACGGAGGGUGCAAGCGUUAAUCGGAAUUACUGGGCGUAAAGCGUGCGCAGGCGGUUUUUUAAGUCUGCUGUGAAAUCCCCGAGCUCAACUUGGGAAUUGCAGUGGAUACUGGCAAGCUAGAGUAUGGUAGAGGAAGGUGGAAUUCCCGGUGUAGCAGUGAAAUGCGUAGAGAUCGGGAGGAACACCAGUGGCGAAGGCGGCCUUCUGGACCAAUACUGACGCUCAUGCACGAAAGCGUGGGGAGCAAACAGG
rnacentral:rRNA from 1 species